UACAGAGGGUGCAAGCGUUGUUCGGAAUUAUUGGCGUCAAGGCGCGUAGGCGGUGCGGUAAGUCUGUAGUGAAAUCUCUGGGCUCAACUCAGAGUCUGCUAUAGAAACUGCCGUGCUUGAGUGUGGGAGAGGUGAGUGGAAUUCCUGGUGUAGCGGUGAAAUGCGUAGAUAUCAGGAGGAACACCUGUGGCGAAAGCGGCUCACUGGACCAUAACUGACGCUGAUGCACGAAAGCUAGGGGAGCAAACAGG
rnacentral:rRNA from 1 species